AAUAGGAGAACCACAGAGAAGGUUUAGAGCAGGGAAAUUCUUCUGUGUGAUAAUAUACAGAUGUCUUUAUACAUUUGUCAAAACACAUGGAAGGUAUAAUACUAAGAAUAAACUAAUGUAAACUACGGAUUUUAGGGUUCCCCAGAGAAACAGAACCAAUGGACUGUGUAUAGAGAGAAUUUUAAGGAGUUGGCUCACACAAUAUGAAGGAUGGCAAAUCCAAAAUCAACAGGGUAGGUUGGCAAUCUGGAGACCUAAGGAGAAGCUGAUAUUACACCUAAAACUGAAAGUCCAUCUGCUGCAGAAUUCACUCUUUCUCAGUGUUUAGAUUUUGGAAAAAUGAAGAUCAUAUGACCUCAAUGUUUUUUUUCUAUUCUUUAAAAAGGAGUAGUUCAGUAACACUAUGAUUCCCACAAUAAGCACAUUUCAGACUGCAUGAUAAUAAAGCAGCAACAAUUUGUACAUGAACUUUUCAUGGAAUUCCCAGAAUGGAUCACUUAUUCUAUCAUGAUACAUCAUUGUAAAACAGAACAGGAUAAUUAGUAGCUAUUUUAAAGGGUAAAAGAAAAAAUCACUGAAUUCAGCAUUGAAAAAAAAAAGAAUGUU